rnacentral:lncRNA from 13 species
GUUUGCUGGGUUCCUUUGAGAGCGUCUUGUCUUCCUCCUUGCCUUUGGCCUCUGUCUUGGGUUUCUCUUCAGCUACUUGGCCUCGGUGGCCUUCACCUCUUUGGUCUCUUUUUUCUCCGAUGCUGCCACUGCUGCCUCCUUCUCUGCUGGUUUGCUGGGUUCCUUGGCCUUGGCAUCAUCUGGUUCCUUCUUGGCCGCCUCUGUCUUCCUUUGGGUUUAGCAUCUUCCUUCAUCUCCACCUUGGCAGGAACCUCCUUCUCUGGGGUGGCUGUUUUUUUCUUAUCUUCAGCCUCUUCCUUUUUGGCUUUGACUUUGGAUUCUUUGGGCUUUUUCGACGGCAGGUUCCUUUUUCUCCACCUCAGGCUUUGGAGCCUCCUUCUUGGGUGCCUCCUCUUUCUUGCUGUCCUCCUCCGUUUUCGGCAUGGUGGGAGCUUUCUCUUCUUCUGCCUUCUUUGGGGGCUCUUUGACUUUCACCUUCUGGGGCUUCUCCUCCUUCAUUGGAGACUUCACCUCUCUUUUCUUUGGGAUCUCCUUCUCAGGGGCCUUGGCAUCCUCCUUCACGGGAGACUUCGCCUUCUCUGGGGACUUGAUCUCCUCCUUUACAGGGCUUUUGGCUUUUUCAGAGGAUUUGUCUGCAGGAGACUUUGCUUCCUCCUUUGCUGGAGUCUUGGCUUCUGGAGACUUCACAUCAAGAGUCUUGGCCUUCUCAGGGGACUUUACAUCUUCCUUCACUGGGGACUUGGCUUUCUCAGGAGACUUGACUUAGCUAGAGAUUUUGCUUCUUCCUUCUCUGGGGACUUGGCCUUCUCAGGGGACUUUGCUUCUUCCUUCACUGGGGACUUGGCCUUCUCGGGAGACUUUACUUCAGCUAGAGAUUUUGCUUCUUCCUUCUCGGGGGACUUGGCCUUCUCAGGGGACUUUGCUUUCUCCUUCACUGAGGACUUAGCCUUUUCCAGAGACUUGACCUCAGCUGGAGAUUUUGCUUCUUCCUUUACUGGGGACUUGGCCUCAGCUGGUGACUUUGCCUCUUCCUUUGCUAGGGACUUGGUCUUCUCUGGAGACUUGGCCUCAGCCAGUGACUUUGCCUCUUCCUUUGCUGGGGACUUGGUCUUCUCUGGAGACUUGGCCUCAGCCAGUGACUUUGCCUCUUCCUUUGCUGGGGACUUGGUCUUCUCUGGAGACUUGGCCUCAGCCAGUGACUUUGCCUCUUUCUUCACUGGGUACUUGGCUUCCCUCUCUGGGGAUGAGGCCUCUUCUGCUGGGGGAGACUUUGCUUCUUCUUCUCCCCCUUCUGCCUCCUCCUCUUAA